UAAAACAUUAUUAAUUAGGUAGUAAAGAAAUUUCUGAAACCUAAAGAAUUUGGCGGUGUUUUAAAUAAUUGGAGGAAUCUGUUAAUUAAUUGAUAUACCACAACAAAUCUUUCCUUAUUUUUGCUUGUAUAUCGUCAUUCCAGACAAUAUUUCAAAAUAAUAGUCAUAAUUAAAAGAAUUUCAUAAAUUAGAUCAAGGUGCAGCAUAAUAAGGUUUUUAUGGAUUACAAUAUUUAUAAAAUAUUUACAAAUAGGAAAAACAAAUUUUUUCUUUGAAGGCGGAUUCAAAAGUAAUUUAAAAAUAAAAUGUUUUUUUGAAUAAUAAUUUAAAACAUGC
rnacentral:rRNA from 1 species